CCUCGGCGAAGGCGUCCCAGGAGCCCGUCUCCAUUAGCAGAAUGUCAGGGUUUCGUUCGCUCGGCUGCGCGGAGCCGAUGGGUCCCGGGUUCGGCUGCCCGUCCGUCGAGACUCAUCCCCGCGGUCACGCUGUGUCCCUCGGCGCUCAAUGGGCCCAGACCCCUCCCCCCACAGCCCCGGACGUGGCGCUUGCCACCUGCCGACAGACACGGCAGCGAGGAACGGCGCAGCACUCCUCCCCCAACGGCCAGACGCCACAGUUCUCUGGAGCGCUGAGUCCCAGUGCUGUGCUGCUGGGUCACAGGUACGAAUUUCUCGGCAUCACAGUUUUUGCAUGCAGCUUUCUUAUGUGUUACUGAU
ensembl:lncRNA